GUUCUGUGCUUCGCGAAAAGCCGGGGCGUGGGAAGGGCCUGCAGCGCGAGGUCCGGCUGUGUGUCCCUUUCAGCGCUUGGGGCCGAGGCCGGGAUGGCUCCUUAGAGCUUCCAGUAUUUACUUAGCACCUACUACGUGCCCAGCCCUGUGGAUACAGAGAUGAACAAAGCCUAAUUCCUGCUCACAAGACUUUCUGACUAGUGAUGUGACUACCCUAUUUAUGAAGGGACUGCCCUGGUCUGAAGUAAUUUCCUCUACAAAUUUCAAGUAAAUCCUUGAAAUGGAGCAAAGUCCACUACAAUGCAAAACUUGUCUCUGUUCUGCUUGUGGAGCCCAUCUCAAAUAAAGGUGGGCGAAGCUCUUAUCUCUGGGCCGUGGAUAAAGAAGUGACUGUCUCGUGUUCCUCUGGAGCUUUCUCAGGUUGGUCUGCUGCAUGUAGUAAGGUUUCACAAUCUUUACUUUUGUGCUUUUUGUAAUAGUAUGGACCCACUGAAAAUGAUUGCUUUUUCAUUGAUCCUGAAGUCACAUAACUCCACAUUUUACACAAUUUAAAGUUUGGACUUGGCUCGUUGCCUUAUGAUGGAGUUUUCUACAUUAAGCCCCUAUUUUGUCACGGCACCAGGUUAGGUUUAUGGAAAUGAACAGAACUGACAGGGUCUCUGUUCUCAUGGAACUUGCAAGCUUGCUUUCUUAAUGGAGGAAAUGGACAAUAAGCCAAUAAGAUGUCUGCACACUGGAAUGAGGGCUGUGAAGAAAUCAAAGGACUGAAGUAGAAAAUAGGAGGUCCCACCUGAGGUGGUCAGGAGGCUGCUCUAAAGAGGUGACAUUUGCAUUGAGGAAGAUGAGAUGGAGAGAACUGGAGGGAAAGCAUUCUAGAUGUCAGGAACAGCAUAUGCAAAGGCCCUGCAGCAGGACUAGAAGAGACUUAGUUUUAAGCUGAGUGUGGAUCUAGGAGUCCCAGAGCAACCUGAACAAGAGAAAACUGGGAAAGAUGGAAGCCCCAGAGCCAGUGUUCAAGGGCGAGGCCUAGGCCACAAGUUCAGAUUUGCUGCAGGUCAAAUCAUUAUAGACUAUCCUAGUCUGGGGGCUGCGGGGGUCCAUGCCAUAGGAUGGGGAUGGCUCAAGGCAAUGACAACUCAUUGGAAAUUGUGGAAAUCCCUUCUGAAUUUCAGAGACAGUAUAUGGGCUGCAGGAUCCUGAUGGCUGGGAGUAGGUGAGCUUAAGCACCCUUUUUCCUCCUCCUUAAAAUAUGUGAGGUCUGGCCUGGGUCCCUUUUCCUUUAUUUAGCCAUGGUUGACUGAGGCCUCCUUUGUGCCAAGCACUGUACUGGGCACUGGGGAUAUUGCAGUGAACAAAACAGAUAAACCCCUGCCCUCAAGGAGCUUGUAUCUCAGUGGGGGACACAAACACAAAAGACCCCAAACAAACUCAGUGUUUUGGGAGAGGACUAGGUGGGGAGAUCUCCCUUCCUGAGUUGGAGCCCUAAGAUUUUGGCUCCUCCAUUAGUCCUUUUUCUGGGGGAUUCUACUCUGAGACCAGAGUGCCUUGGCCCUUAGGUCCUCUUUCCUGUUGGUGAGAAUUUAAAGAGAAACACACACACACACACACACACACACACACACACACACACACACACCACACACCCCUCCCCUUUUAGGGGCUGUUAAAGGCCCACACACAGACAUAGGAACACCCAAAUGCACAUACUUCUCUAAUCUCCCUAAUCCCCCAAGGCUGGGGUGGUGGUUGUAGUGGUUCUCUGUUUCUCUAUUUAGCUCAGGAGAAGCCAGGCUAUGGGCCUGGCUUAGCCCCCGCACCCCCCUUCCCCUGGGCUGGUGCCUGGGUCCCAGUCAUUCCCACACCUGGCCUGGGAGGUAAAUGAAUGUACUGAGCAAACAUCCUUGCAGCUUCCUGCUGCUCCCCUCUGAGACAACAGCACUCCUCCUUCUCUUCCUCCUCCCCACACCCUCCCAGUUGGGGCAUCUCUGGGAUCCAGAGCCAUUUCCCUCUAGAGAAACCAGAGUCAUCCCUUUUCCUUAGCCAGAAGAAGAAGGCAAGAUGCACACAGCCCUAGUGUCUCUAUCUGGAGACACAACUUGUUCUCUCUCUGGCCCUUUGUCUCAGCUUUCUGAGCACCAGACCCUCCCUCAUACCUGCCCAGGGGGUGAAGGAUAAUAGGAUACAGGGGAUGAGGGCUCUCCAGUGGCCACAUCAGGAACUGUGGGAGAGGUAGAGGGAGGAGAAGCCCCCUUCCCCCACAUCCGGUAGGAAGGGCAGCCCCUUUGGAGGAGUGUCUCUGAGAAUCACAUAGAUAAGCUGGGAACAGCAUAAAGGGAAAAAUAAAGUACCCCUGACCACCUCCAAGCACA